UUUGCCAUGUUUCUGUAGAUAUUAUGGAGCUAAUUUGGAAUAUUUUUCGGAGUUGUCAUGGCCGCAAUUUCCGGUCGUUUUCUCAGCCAAACGUGAAGAACUGACGGAGCUAAUUUUGGCUACAAAAUAAUUUAUGGAAAAAAAGGAACAUUUGCUACCAAACUGGGAGUCUCGUGAGUGAAAAAAUCCGAAGCACAAAGGUGUAAUGGAUUUCCUCCUCUUCGUCUGAAGUAUUGCACGGAUCGGACCAAAACGUAGCGUGGUGUAACGGAUUUCCCCCUCUUCGUCUGAAGUGUUGCAAGAAUCGGACCAAAACACAGCGUGAGCUGGCUGACUGCGCAGGACAGACGGGAGACUCUGGCAGCUCCGGACAGACGGGAGACUCUGGCAGUUCCGGACAGACGGGAGACUCUGGCAGUUCCGGACAGACGGGAGACUCUGGCAGCUCCAGACAGACGGGAGACUCUGGCAGCUCCGGACAGACGGGAGACUCUGGCAGCUCCGGACAGACGGGAGACUAGAUAACGAGCAGAGUCAACAAAAUAAUGUGGUUACAGAGGGUGCAACAGGUCAGCACCUCCGGAGUAAUUAUCAGUUGGCUUUUCAUAGCCGAAAAUUGAGAGGUUGAGAGAGGUAGAGAGAGAGAGAGAGAGAUGCAGUAUAGUAACAAUGAAAAAUAACAGUGCUAUGAGUUUGUUAGGGAUACCUAUGUUUCUAACACACACCUAAACAAAACUACAAGCUAUAGAAGAGCUUUAAAGUCCUUACCUAUGCAAUGUCCAUCAGUAGAGGGAAUCUCAGUCUGUUCCUGGACUGAAUGGCAGUCCUUUUUGUUUCCUCUCUUGGAACGCUAACAGACAAAAGGUAAAGAAAAUGGUACAGAGAAUAAAUAAAUGGAACACUUCUUAAUCCAAGGCAACAAUUUAGCGAUUAAUAAAACAUAUUUAUUUCAUGUACAUAUUUGUCUUAUCAUAGCCACAUCAAUAACAUAGGCACAUAACUGGAACAAAAAACAAUUGCUAACUCCCUGCUAUACCUUGAAGUUGAUCCUGAGUUUGGUCAUUGAAAAGCAAAGGAAGCUCCUUCUUGCUUUCUGCUCAGCCCCCCUCUCUGUCUCAGCCUGGUCUGAUGGGUUUUUUGCAUCAGAAGCUGGUCUUGACGCCUCCUUGCAUCCCUGUACCAGCUGCUGGGUCAAGGACUUUACCAGGACUCUGUCAAAUGCAGGGUCCUGGGAGGAAAUAGCUGCUUGCAGAGUGUUAUAAGAGCCAAACUCCUCCAUGAGGUUUUUAUGGACACCUCUGAACACCCAGUGGAUGUACAGGUUCUGGGAAUAUGCCUGUGUCCUGGAGAAUCUGGAUGCAGCACAGAACUCAGACAGGACUUGUCUGAUGAGUUGCUGAGAUUUCUGUCAUGUCUGCUGCCUGUUGGGAGGGUCCAUCUAGGGCUGAGGGUCUGAUCUUUGAUAGCAACCUUAUCACCAGUAUGGUGACCAAACAGAUGACAUCAUCUUUGCUGGAGUACAUCAAGUACUGCAGUGGGAAUGCAGUGGCACCGCUGAUGUCCGGGGUGAUUAAGAGCUCCCUCAGAUGGCCAGAGCUGCUGGGGGAUGCACACCUCCUUCUCUUCAAUGUCAAUCCCAUCUCCCCUUGGUACUAAAGAGGUUCCCUUGCUGGUGAAAGACGGAGUGGAGGAUCGAAAAGAGGCUUUAGCACUCGGCGGUCGACUGCUGUCAGUCAUUGGACUGUUACAAUACAGGUGUUCAUCUGUGUGUGCCAUCAUAUUUGUCUUUAGGUCACUUGAAGAAAUCUCUGGCAUUUUAGAGACCCAGGUGUCGAUGCAGGAGUUCCUGAUGAUGGGGCAGGUCAGAUCAAAACGCACUUCGUCAGGGAUGGGAGUGCCAGGGAGGUUGAUCUCUAACUCACACUCUGACCUAGGACUCUUUGAAGAGCUUUGAAGGAACUACGACCAUUUAAAGAA